rnacentral:rRNA from 1 species
AGUGGCGGACGGGUGAGUAAUGUCUGGGAAACUGCCUGGUGGAGGGGGAUAACUACUGGAAACGGUAGCUAAUACCGCAUACCAUCAGAUGUGCCCAGAUGGGAUUAGCUAGUUGGUGGGGUAACGGCUCACCAAGGCGACGAUCCCUAGCUGGUCUUAGAGGAUGACCAGCCACACUGGAACGGUGACACGGUCCAGAGUCCUAAGGUAGGCAGCAGUGGGGAAUAUUGCAUAAUGGGCGCAAGCCUGAUUCAGCCAUUCCGCUUGUAUGAAGAAGGCCUUCGGGUCGUAAAGUACUUUCAGCGGGGAGGCGUUACCCGCAGAAGAAGCACCGGCUAACUCCUUGCCAGCAGCCGCGGUAAUUC